rnacentral:lncRNA from 1 species
UUAGAGGGUGAGACACUACUGUGCAAUUGCAAUUCCCUUUAUAUGUAACAGGAUGGCUUGAGCAUCAAGAAAAUUCACUUUGUCAAAUCCUCAUACCACCUUGUUUCACAUCUUGCUGCAGCUGUAACAUGGACCUUGCUAAGUCAGUAGGAAUUGUAUGUCUGGAUGGGGUAGUCCCGUGCUGGAAUGAGUGGUUGAAUGGAUGGCUAGAAAUAGACCAAUUCGAAGGCUGAGUUUGGCCUUUUAAAGAAGUCAAAGCAGAGGCAUUUGGUUUCACUCUUGUAUUUAUAAAUAGCUAUCUAAUAGUGCAGCACAGUUUGACCGUGCAGCCCAGGGUCGGAAGGGAUUGCCUGCGUGCUUUUACCAGCUGUCAGUGUGGCAACUGUGGGGUCCCGGCUGGAGCACCCAAUUCCUGUUCUAUCCCAGGUCCGAGUCCUGUCCAGCACCAGCACCCAAUGCAGAUCUUGGAGGUAAGUGCUAAAAUGGUUGUGUUCUGGGUGAUGGCCAAAGACUCUUUAGUUAGGUCUCUGUGACCUAGG